CUGUCAGUAUUACAGAUGCAAGAAUUCAGUUCUCAGUGAAUCCAAGUGAUGGAGAGGAUGGACAAAUCCCUGCAUUUGUUCAUCCUUUGCUUACAACUAGACUGGGUGAGCAGUAAACAGCAUGUGAAUCAGAGCCACGAAGCCCUGAGCGUCCGAGAGGGAGAUGGCUUGGUUCUCAACUGCAGUUACACCGAUAGCGCUAUUUACUUCCUUCAGUGGUUUAGGCAGUAUCCUGGGAAAGGGCUUACUUCUCUGCUGUUAAUUCAAGCGAACCAGGGAGAACAAAUAAGUGGAAGAAUUAAAGCCUCAUUGGAUAAAUCAUCAAGAAACAGUGUUUUCUACAUUGCAGCAUCUCAGCCCAGCGACUCUGCCACCUACUUCUGUGCUGUGAGGCACAGUGCAUGACAGACACCUGUCACCAGUACCCAAACACUGCAUCUGGGACUCUAACCGCCCUAUUUUGAUGCUGAGGAAACUUUUUCCAUUAAGGGGUUUUCUGCAUUGACUCUCCCUCCAGA